ACAUGCAGUCGAACGAACUUCCGUUAAUUGAUUAUGACGUACUUGUACUGAUUGAGAUUUUAACACGAAGUGAGUGGCGAACGGGUGAGUAACACGUGGGUAACCUGCCCAGAAGUAGGGGAUAACACCUGGAAACAGAUGCUAAUACCGUAUAACAGAGAAAACCGCAUGGUUUUCUUUUAAAAGAUGGCUCUGCUAUCACUUCUGGAUGGACCCGCGGCGUAUUAGCUAGUUGGUGAGGUAAAGGCUCACCAAGGCAGUGAUACGUAGCCGACCUGAGAGGGUAAUCGGCCACAUUGGGACUGAGACACGGCCCAGACUCCUACGGGAGGCAGCAGUAGGGAAUCUUCCACAAUGGACGCAAGUCUGAUGGAGCAACGCCGCGUGAGUGAAGAAGGGUUUCGGCUCGUAAAGCUCUGUUGUUAAAGAAGAACGUGGGUAAGAGUAACUGUUUACCCAGUGACGGUAUUUAACCAGAAAGCCACGGCUAACUACGUGCCAGCAGCCGCGGUAAUACGUAGGUGGCAAGCGUUAUCCGGAUUUAUUGGGCGUAAAGCGAGCGCAGGCGGUCUUUUAAGUCUAAUGUGAAAGCCUUCGGCUCAACCGAAGAAGUGCAUUGGAAACUGGGAGACUUGAGUGCAGAAGAGGACAGUGGAACUCCAUGUGUAGCGGUGAAAUGCGUAGAUAUAUGGAAGAACACCAGUGGCGAAGGCGGCUGUCUGGUCUGCAACUGACGCUGAGGCUCGAAAGCAUGGGUAGCGAACAGGAUUAGAUACCCUGGUAGUCCAUGCCGUAAACGAUGAUUACUAAGUGUUGGAGGGUUUCCGCCCUUCAGUGCUGCAGCUAACGCAUUAAGUAAUCCGCCUGGGGAGUACGACCGCAAGGUUGAAACUCAAAAGAAUUGACGGGGGCCCGCACAAGCGGUGGAGCAUGUGGUUUAAUUCGAAGCUACGCGAAGAACCUUACCAGGUCUUGACAUCUUCUGACAGUCUAAGAGAUUAGAGGUUCCCUUCGGGGACAGAAUGACAGGUGGUGCAUGGUUGUCGUCAGCUCGUGUCGUGAGAUGUUGGGUUAAGUCCCGCAACGAGCGCAACCCUUAUUACUAGUUGCCAGCAUUAAGUUGGGCACUCUAGUG
rnacentral:rRNA from 1 species